rnacentral:rRNA from 1 species
GAAACUAACCAGGAUUGUCUCAGUAGCGGCGAGUGAAGAGACAUCAGCCCAGAUUUAGAAUUGUAAUCUCGGAAGCAAUUCCGAGCUCGACGAAUGGCAUAACUUACCUGGGACGGUAGGCCAGAGAAGGUAACAGCCCUGUGAUGCCAGGACCGAGCCGUGAAUGCGUGGAGAGUCGGGUUGUUUGGGAAUGCAGCCCUAAGCGGGAGAUAGACAUCUUCUAAGGCUAAAUACCGGUGGGAGACCGAUAGCGCACAAGUACUGCGAAGGAAAGAUGAAAAGAACUUUGGAAAGAGGGUUAAAAGACGUGAAAUCGUUGAAGUGGAACUGAUCGCAGCCCGUCCAGGCUAUGUCUCCGUGCUUAGCUCUCAGGACCCCCGGACUCAAAUCCCAAGUCUCAUGAGUUAAGUACUGGCAUAGCACGUCCCCGCAUCAGUUCUAGUGCUGCUAAUCAAACGCUUCAAGUUAGGUUGCGUCUGGAUCAGCACUGGGACUGAGGAAGAUGCGAGGAAAGCGACUGUGAUCGACCCGUCUUGAAACACGGACCAAGGAGUCUAACUGUCGUGCGAGUGGGAGGGUGUCAAACCCGAACGCGUACCGAAAGGGAGUAUAAGGUGCAAGGACAACCGCAGCACCAGCGAGCGAGAGCUCAGCAAGAGCACGAGGGUU